CACCGCGCCCGGCCCCUAUCUCCACUUCUAUAGUUGUUUUCCCUUAUUUAAGUAUGACCUACCCACAUAGGUGCUAACUGAGCCCAAGUAGGAGCUGGAAUUCAGAAAACCCAUAAAGGUACCUAGAUAAAAGCUAGAAAGGGAGUUUGGAAAAGAAAAGAAAGUAAGGGUCCACGUCAAAAAAUCAUUCUACAAAGAGAAGGUUGGUCAAUUUUUAAGGUUCCAUAUGACCUCAAAGGAAAAUCUCGGUUAUCUCCCACUUCCUAUUAAAGCAUUUCAGUAUUAACGGCUCAACAGUGAACUUAUUGUAAAUUCAGAGGGCGCAGUGGCACACGCCCAUAAUCCCAGCACUUUGGGAGGCCAAGGCGGGCAGAUCACUUGAGCUCAGGAGUUCAAGACCAGCCUGGCCAACAUAGUGAGACCCUAUCUCUACAAAACACACACACACACACACACACACACACACACACACACACACAUAAAAAUUAGCCAGGUGCGGUGGUGCACACCUGUAGUCCCAGCUACUCAGGAAGCUGAGGUAGAAGAAUCAUCUGAGCCCAGGAGGCCGAGACUGCAAUGAGCCGAGAUUGUGCCACUACACUCCAGCCUGGGUAACAGAGUGAGACCCUGUCUCAAUCAAACAGUUCAGAGGGGGCUCCCAAUCAGAUACAAACAAGAUCCAAAAGGUAAAGUUAAUAAUUUUGUAGACCUCAUGUGAAACUAGGGAAGGCUUUAUUCCAAAACCCUAUAUUAACACUGCUUAUACCACUAGUGUGAGUCUGUUCACCCUUAAUAUGAAGGGGCAACUCAACUGGAUAUUUUUUCCAUCAUAAACUCAUGCUGUCCCCUACCACCCCUGUCUUCCUGUCACCUCCAAUGAGAAUAGAGUGGAAGAUAGGGUAAGAAAAGUACCCUUUGGGGCAUACCUUUUCAACCACUUCCUCAUGGCUGGCAUCCUCUACAUUCUCUCCAUUCACUUCAAUCAAGUGAUCAUCAGCCAGAACUCCAGCUCUCAUAGCCACACCUUGAGGUGUAAUAUCAGUCAUGUACACCCCCUUUUUACCUGGAAGAGAGUAGGGGUAAACUCCAUGUGGAGACACAAGUGACUCCCUCUUGGAUGGUAAUCUGUGAUGUUGACUUCUGAUUAGCCCCAGUCCUGUGAUUGCCUCCCGAUUUCUACUUCAUUUACUGUCCCUAGUCUAAGAACAUGUCAACCUUAAUGUUAUCACGCAAAUUAUAGGCUAUGAUGCACUAUAGCAUUCUUGGCUAUUGCGGAGGGCUGCCUUCGAUUGUCUUGCUGGAGCACAUAUACCCUUUCCCUAUGGUAUAUCAGCCUUGGGUCUGGGGAGUAACACAGAGAUCUACAUGUUUUGUGGCUGUCCAAGACCAUGCUUCUGUUCGUAAGUUCCCCUGAUAAAUUCCAAUGUACCAACAAACUGGAUUUGCCUGCCUUGUCCUUUGGUUUCUCAGCUCCUUUGGCCUUUGAGGGACUGCUUUGCAUACACCACCCUUUCACAGAACACUCCAUUGCAAAGAAAAACUCGAAAUCCAAUGGUAAAGACUUUUCUCCCAAUAAUGUGAAACAAACUUCCGAUUUUAGAGCUAACUCGGCCUUUGGCUUCUGAUCUAAAAUCACAGUUAUAGGUCCUGGCACUGAACUUGACACAGCCUUUACUCAGUGGGUAUUUGUUGAUUUGAAUAGAAUUUCUGAGGUCAGCUAAAUGCAAAGAUGGAAUCUUGGGUGGCCUUGGCCCCUUGAACCAGAAAGCGCUAAAACAUGCCCACACUGCAUUAUUGUGUCAUACGCCCUUUCUUUGCAUUUGUAGAAUCAGAAAGCAUCUUUACCAUUCUCUCCUCUUCAGUUUGUACUAUUAUAUUAGCCAUCGUAUGCUGUGGAGUCAUCUCACCAAUGUAGGCUAACAAGGACAGGCACAGGAGGGAGGGAAGAACCCGAAUGCAUUUAGGUGGUGAGAUUUAGGUGCUACUUAUAGAAAUGCUGUCAAUUCUUCAAAGAUAUUAAUAGAGCAGUUCCCCCUUAACCAUGGGGGAUACAUUCCAAGACCCCCAGUGGAGGCCUGAAACUUUAAGAUAGUAUACCGAACCCUAUAUGUUUUUUCCUGUGCUUACAUACCUACAAUAGAGUUUAACUUAUAAAUUAGGCACAGUAAGAGAUUAACAAUAACUGAGCUAAUCUUAGCAACCUCAGCAUACAGUAUUUUUUCUUUCCUUAUUAAAUCGAGAACUUUUCACUUAAUAGAAGCACUUUACAGCCUUUUUUUUUUUUUUUUUAACAGAUGGAGUCUCGCUCUGUCACCUAGGCUGGAACGCAGGGCCGCAAUCUUGGCUCACAGCAACCUCUGCCUCCCCGGUUCAAGCGAUUCUCCUGCCUCAGCCUCUCGAGUAGCUGGGACUACAGGCGCCUGCCACCGCGCCUGGCUAAUUUUUGUAUUUUUAGUAGAGAUGGGGUUUCGCCAUGUUGGCCAGGCUUGUCUCGAACUCCUGACCUCAGGUAAUCCACUCGCCUCGCACUCUCAAAGCGCUAGGAUUACAGAUAUGAGCCACUGUGCCCGGCCACUUUACAGCUUCUCUUUGUCAUAUCUGAACUGCCAGCAUCACUAUCCUUGCAUUUUUGGCUUUUUUUUUUUUUUUUUUUGAGACGGAGUCUUGCUUUAUCGCCCAGCCUGGAGUGCAGUGGCGCAAUCUGAGCUCACUGCAACCUCCGCCUCCCGGGUUCACACCAUUCUCCUGCCUCAGCCUCCUGAGUAGCUGGGACUACAGGCGCCCACCACCACACCCGGCUAAUUUUUUGUAUUUUUAGUAGAGACAGGGUUUCACCGUGUUAGCCAGGAUGGUCUCGAUCUCCUGACCUCAUGAUCUGCCCGCCUCGGCCUCCCAAAGUGCUGGGAUUACAGGCGUGAGCCACUGCGCCCGGCCUGAGCUAUUAUUUUUUAUUGAUACAUAACAUUUGUACAUAUUUAUAGGGUGUGUGUCAUAUUUUGAUACCAAGAGCAUAUAAUGAACAAAUCAGGGUGUAAUAUUUAGGACAUCCAUCCUUGAACAUUUAUCAUUUCUUUGUGUUGAGAAUAUUUCAAAUCUUCUUACAGCUAUUUUGAAAUGUACAAUACAUUGUUGUUAACUACAGUCACCCCACUGUGCUAUCAAACAUUAGAACUUAUUCCUUCUCUCUGUGGGUUUGUACCCAUUAACCUAGCUCUCUUCAUCCCCACCCUACCCCACACACAUACCCUUCCCAGCUGCUGGUAUCUCUCAUUCUACUCUCUACCUCCAUGAGAUUCACCUUUUUUAGCUCCCACAUAUGAGAAUAUGUGAUAUUUUUCUUUCUGUGCUGGGCCAUUAUUAAGCAAAAUAAGGAUUAUUUGAACACAGUACUUUAAUACCGUGACAGUUGACCUGGUAACUGAGUAGUAAGUAGUAAGACUAACAGGCAGGUAAGCACAUGCCACGUGGAGAUGCUAGACAAACAGAGGAUUCAUGUCCAAGACGGGGCAGGACAGCACAAGAUUUCAUUACACUACUCAUAAUGGUUCACAAUGCAAAAAUUAUGUAUGGAAUUUUCCAUUUAAUAUUUUCAGACCACAGUUGCCUGCAGGUAAGGUAACUGAAACUAUGGAAAGCCAAACAGGAUAAGGGGGGACUCUUGUAUGUCAACCUAGGCAAGGGAUCGCUUGCUAAUGACUACAUAAAUCACUUGUAAGGAAUGACAAUAACUUAAACUCUGCUUCCUUAAACACUCAGCAUUUCUCCUGCUACCUUGUUAUAUAUUUGUCAUGAAGAGACCAUUUUCCUCAUAAAGCUAACCUAAACCAUUCACCAUGUGCAUUAGCACAUGAGCCAGAUGAGUAGAAUCUGAAUUAUGAUUUUCUUUUUUUUACCACUUUACUGAUAAUAGGCUUCUAAGACGUGCCAAGCUUCCUUUGACUAUACACACCACUGUGUUUAAUAACUGACAGACCUGAGAAAUACCCCUUAUCGUGAGUUUACAUCUCUUGGUACAGGUUAAAUAAGCCUUAGAAACUAUUUUAAAUUUACCACUGGUCUGCUGCUGUAUCACUUGCCAAAUCAUGACCUACCACCAGUGCUUCUCCAGCCCCAGAAAGAACAUAGGCAGAGGCAGUGUUCAAGAAGGAAUUGACCAGCUAACACAGCUCCUCUGGUUCCAACCAAUACCCCAGAGCCACGGUCAACUGAACACAGGAAUCCCCAUCCAGAACUAGUAAAGUCACUGAAUUCCCACUCUUUCUGACCAGAUCCACAACCUAGGAGGGAAGAAGAAAAAGGAGAAUAAGAACAGGGGCCAGAACAGCAAGAGGCUGAUACAGAAGGCAGAAGGCUCACAACAGAGCACUGGAGUCUGCUCUUCACACCACCUGCAAGGCAAGCCCUCAAGUUCCUCUCAUCACAGUUCCCUACCUACAAAUCAGAAUAAACCACCUAUCCCUUCCCUCCUGGAGGGACAAGAACGGAUGACCACACAGGAUAUGGGGGAGGGUGAAGAAUAGGCCACAAAGUGCUCCAGGCACCCUAGAAGCCAUGGCAUGGUGAUUGAAGAUAGCCAUCCCUGACCUUCAUGCCCACAGAGACGUACAGUACAAAUCAGACAGAGAGCCCCCAGCUGCCCAAUACCAGGCCUCUCCUGCAGUCUCCGCAAAGUCUGAAGCCCCACGCCACCAGUGGCACGAGUGACUAAGUAGCGAAGAAAGAAGCAAACAAAUAGACUCCCCAUCGAGCAUUGAGGCAAGAAAACAGCAAAGCCACUCACCAGUGGUCAACACCAGCACCUUGGGAGAGCUAGGCAGCUCUGCCUUAUCAAAAGCCAUGACCAGCUGCCAGGAAAACACCACUCUGGGAUGAAAGGAGAAAAUAUGGCAUCACCAGAGUUGAGUCACAUCCAGGCACCUGUUUGUGGCCCAUUCCAGCUCCCUCACCUUUCACUCCUCUUUCUGCUGAUCCCAACCUGCGAGCAUCAGUUCAGUUUCAGCUUGAGUUCACAUCUAUGUCCAAGCUCACCUGUAGAUCCCUACACCUUUCCAUUUCAUAGGGCCAAAAGACCCCAAAAGAAAAAAAAUCAGAAAAGAAAGACGAGGUCUCAAUGUACUUUACUGGGAGGAUCAGACAGUAAUUACAUAAAUGAAUAGGAUCAUUUCAGAUAAUGAUAUUUGCUGUGAAGAAAAUAAAACAAUGUCAAACAAAACAUGCAAAGCCCUCUUAAAGUUGGGAGUAAUUAUUGGAGAACCUCAUUCAAAUCCUACAAAAUUUAAAAUAUGUCCUUAUAAUCAGAAUAAGGCCAACAGAUACUAUGUUUUCAUCAAGAGAUGAGGCUGUUUGUGAUCAGCAUAUGAAUGCUCAUUUCUAAGGCACUCACACCCAAGACUCAACAAUCUCACGCCCUGCAGUGUCAACCACAAACUCUUAAUCUCUUUGUUUGUAGGCCAAGGAUAGAAAGUGAAACCUCCUCACUAGGAGAACCAGCCCUGUGUUUGGAGAGAGGGGAAGAGGCAAAGGUUUUCCUAUGUCUCACUGGAGACCUGUGAGCCUGACAUACAAAGAAACACAAAUCACUGUUUCUUGGCAGAAUCUCAAGUUGACUUUUUUGUUUGAAGUUUUCAAACAGCCAGAUGGUAAUCGCUCAGAUCUGCAUCUAUGGCUUUGAAGGCUCAAGCAUUCAAGGUCAGUUUCUUUUUUGUCUGGUUGAAGCCAGAAAAUUAGAGCCACUUUAUACCAAUAGUGAAAUGCUACCAUACUGGUGGGGAAACAGCUACUGCUGCAAGCCCCCAACUGCCUUCUGCCACUGUGUACUCCCCACCACACAGCCAUUAAUGGAUUAAUGCUAUGGCCAUCGAUCUGCAUGUACCCAGGCCAAACUGAUUAAAUAUUUAACGCCCCCAGCUGCACCAAUGGGGAAAGCAGACCUAAACCUCAAAAGCCUGGUCUUACAUGGGAACCUAAAACUAUUUGUUUCCUUUGCCAUCUUGCAGAAAGAUGAUUCAUCUAGGAGCCAAGGGAGCUGGGCUCUGGUCCACCUCCAGGCCUUGUUCUGUCUAGUCCACAUCCUGGUGUUACUCUGUCCCCUAAUUCAGAGCUGGGGUAUGUCUCUUUCGCAAGACUCUGUCAUUGCUCCAUGACAAGGAUGCCUGGGACUCUGGAACACAGGGCCUAAUUAGGAAGGAUCUUUGUAUUUAAGGAUACUCUUUCCUACUUCUUUAACCCCACCUCAUCUUCUGCCUCCUGAAAAAAUCUAGAGAUCAGACCCCUCUGGUGGAUAGACACAGAAGAAAUGAAGGCCUAUGGAUUUCUAGAAUAUCAUUAGCAGCAAUCAUUUGAAGUUGGAGUCCAUUAAAUCCAGCAGGCUUUGUUCCCCAGUUCAAACAGCCAAAAUACAUGGUGGUACACAUCUUUAGUCCCAGCUACUCGGGAGGCUUAGUUGGGAGGAUGGCUUGAACCUGGAGGCAGAGAGGUUGCUGUGAGCCGAGAUCGCACCACUGCACUCCAGCCUGGGCAACAGAAUGAGACCCUGUUUCAAAAAAAGAAAAAAAAACUGGAGAUGAAAGAAAGCUAUAACCAUUCCUGAGCUCGGGGGGGAAAAAUCAAUAGUUGACAACAAAGUUGUUUAUCUGUG
rnacentral:lncRNA from 1 species